rnacentral:snoRNA from 1 species
GUGAAAUGAUGACGAGGUUUAUCCAUUCUCUGAGAUCGCUAUAUACUAACCUUCUUGUAGUGCUAGGUUCCUGUUUUGGGAACUCUGUGCUGUGUAGUCUCCAAAUGCUCAGCGGUCUUGCAGUGUUCUACUGUAGACAGUUGGCAUUGAUGAAGGAGUGUAUGUUUCAGCAGAGGUGGAACCUCAUCUGUUGGAGGUUUCCUCUUGCCAAGAUGAAUGAUGGGAGUCUGAUCAC